AGGAUAAACGCUGGCGGCGUGCCUAACACAUGCAAGUCGAACGUCCUUGCGGUCUUCUUCUUCGGAGGAGGACCGCGAGGGAGUGGCGGACGGGUGAGUAACACAUGGGUACCUGCCUUUCAGUGAGGAAUACCGGCGAGAAAUCGCCGACAAGACCGCAUAGGCUUCCUUCGGUAGCCCGAGGGAAGCAAAGUUACUUCGCGAGAGGUGACGCUGGAAGAGGGGCCUGUGGCCGAUUAGCUAGUUGGGGGGUAACGGCCUCCCAAGGCGACGAUCGGUAGCUGGUCUGAGAGGACGAUCAGCCACACUGGGAUUGAGAACGGCCCAGACUCCUACGGGGGGCAGCAGUGAGGAAUUUUCCGCAAUGGACGAAAGUCUGACGGAGCAACGCCGCGUGCAGGAGGAAGGUUUUCGGAUCGUAAACUGCUUUUCUCGGGGACGAGCAAGGACGGUACCCGAGGAAGAAGCCCCGGCUAACUACGUGCCAGCAGCCGCGGUAA
rnacentral:rRNA from 1 species